UAAUGAACCAUACAUUUCAUCAAAUGUACAUAAUUCAUCCACAGUUUAUAAUAAUUAUAACUGCUGAUGAUUCGCAAUAAACACUUUAAUUAAAAUUGUGUAUAAUUAACACUUUGUUACGAAUUUUAUAAGCUUGUAAAGCUUUCUGGAAGCAUUAUAAUUUCUUCCACAAUAAUUUUCUCAUUAAAAAUUAAUCCAUUAUCCACGCUUCAAACCUGGUUUCAUCACGCUUAUAGAUUGCAUUUCUGUUCGCUGUAAAUCUUUCAACUGUUUUUCACCUCUUCGCAUCAAAUACUCUAUCCUCAAAAUGUUAGAACGUGGAAUUUUUGCAUUCUUUCGAAAUUCUGCCUGAAUAUACUCCUUGAAGCCAGCCCGUCCUUCGCAAGCUCGAAUCAACCUUCUGUACAGACCAAAGAUAGAUAUUUGCAAACGACUGUAUUUUAUGGACAUAUCUAGCCUUUCUUCCUUUGACUAUCAAGUAUAACCCGUUAAUAUCCACUUUCAGGUAACAGACAUACUCGGCAAAUGAAGUCAAAUUAGUCAAUUGUGAUAAACCAUAAUUUGUCCCAAUUAUGAUAAUUUUCAAUGUUGUAUAAAUUAUAAAACACGUUGAAGGUUUUAUAUUCUUUAAUUUCACAAACAACAAUGUAUAUAAACUGAAAUUUCAAUGAAUUUUUUUGAUUUAGUCGAUUUUCAAAAUUCAUCCGCUCUUGGACG